rnacentral:rRNA from 1 species
CAGUAGCCGCGGGAAUACGUAGGUGGCAAGCGUUGUCCGGAAUUAUUGGGCGUAAAGGGCUCGCAGGCGGUUUCUUAAGUCUGAUGUGAAAGCCCCCGGCUCAACCGGGGAGGGUCAUUGGGAACUGGGAAACUUGAGUGCAGAAGAGGAGAGUGGAAUUCCACGUGUAGCGGUGAAAUGCGUAGAGAUGUGGAGGAACACCAGUGGCGAAGGCGACUCUCUGGUCUGUAACUGACGCUGAGGAGCGAAAGCGUGGGGAGCGAACAGGAUUAGAUACCCCCGUAGUCCCUGUCUCUUAUAA